rnacentral:pre_miRNA from 1 species
GUACUACUCCCUUCGUUCGAAAUUACUUGUCGCGAAAAUGGACGUAUCUAAACGUAUUUUAGUUUUAAAUACAUUCAUUUUCAAGACAAGUAAUUCCGAACGGAGGGAGUAUGUU